rnacentral:rRNA from 1 species
GAUGAACGCUGGUUGCGUGCCUAAUACAUGCAAGUCGAGCGAACGGACGAGAAGCUUGCUUCUCUGAUGUUAGCGGCGGACGGGUGAGUAACACGUGGAUAACCUACCUAUAAGACUGGGAUAACUUCGGGAAACCGGAGCUAAUACCGGAUAAUAUUUUGAACCGCAUGGUUCAAAAGUGAAAGACGGUCUUGCUGUCACUUAUAGAUGGAUCCGCGCUGCAUUAGCUAGUUGGUAAGGUAACGGCUUACCAAGGCAACGAUGCAUAGCCGACCUGAGAGGGUGAUCGGCCACACUGGAACUGAGACACGGUCCAGACUCCUACGGGAGGCAGCAGUAGGGAAUCUUCCGCAAUGGGCGAAAGCCUGACGGAGCAACGCCGCGUGAGUGAUGAAGGUCUUCGGAUCGUAAAACUCUGUUAUUAGGGAAGAACAUAUGUGUAAGUAACUGUGCACAUCUUGACGGUACCUAAUCAGAAAGCCACGGCUAACUACGUGCCAGCAGCCGCGGUAAUACGUAGGUGGCAAGCGUUAUCCGGAAUUAUUGGGCGUAAAGCGCGCGUAGGCGGUUUUUUAAGUCUGAUGUGAAAGCCCACGGCUCAACCGUGGAGGGUCAUUGGAAACUGGAAAACUUGAGUGCAGAAGAGGAAAGUGGAAUUCCAUGUGUAGCGGUGAAAUGCGCAGAGAUAUGGAGGAACACCAGUGGCGAAGGCGACUUUCUGGUCUGUAACUGACGCUGAUGUGCGAAAGCGUGGGGAUCAAACAGGAUUAGAUACCCUGGUAGUCCACGCCGUAAACGAUGAGUGCUAAGUGUUAGGGGGUUUCCGCCCCUUAGUGCUGCAGCUAACGCAUUAAGCACUCCGCCUGGGGAGUACGACCGCAAGGUUGAAACUCAAAGGAAUUGACGGGGACCCGCACAAGCGGUGGAGCAUGUGGUUUAAUUCGAAGCAACGCGAAGAACCUUACCAAAUCUUGACAUCCUUUGACAACUCUAGAGAUAGAGCUUUCCCCUUCGGGGGACAAAGUGACAGGUGGUGCAUGGUUGUCGUCAGCUCGUGUCGUGAGAUGUUGGGUUAAGUCCCGCAACGAGCGCAACCCUUAAGCUUAGUUGCCAUCAUUAAGUUGGGCACUCUAAGUUGACUGCCGGUGACAAACCGGAGGAAGGUGGGGAUGACGUCAAAUCAUCAUGCCCCUUAUGAUUUGGGCUACACACGUGCUACAAUGGACAAUACAAAGGGCAGCGAAACCGUGAGGUCAAGCAAAUCCCAUAAAGUUGUUCUCAGUUCGGAUUGUAGUCUGCAACUCGACUACAUGAAGCUGGAAUCGCUAGUAAUCGUAGAUCAGCAUGCUACGGUGAAUACGUUCCCGGGUCU